UACGGACACACUAACGUAGAAUAUAGUGUUUUAAUGCCGCCGCUGUGUGCGUCGCGAAGUAAUAAAAGAAGAAGCCGACUCCAACAUAGUUGGGAAAAAGGCCAGGCCGAUGUUGGGUAAUAAAACUAUAUGUGCAUUUCUAGAUACAGCUUAAUAUUGUAUUGCUUCAGAUUUUGUCUUGGAAAAAUAAAAUAAUGGUAAUUUAAAA